UACGUAGGGCGCAAGCGUUUAUCCGGAAUUAUUGGGCGUAAAGAGCUCGUAGGCGGUUUGUCGCGUCUGCCGUGAAAGUCCGGGGCUCAACUCCGGAUCUGCGGUGGGUACGGGCAGACUAGAGUGAUGUAGGGGAGACUGGAAUUCCUGGUGUAGCGGUGAAAUGCGCAGAUAUCAGAAGGAACACCGAUGGCGAAGGCAGGUCUCUGGGCAUUAACUGACGCUGAGGAGCGAAAGCAUGGGGAGCGAACAGG
rnacentral:rRNA from 1 species